CCUACGGGAGGCAGCAGUGAGGAAUAUUGGUCAAUGGCCGGGAGGCUGAACCAGCCAAGUCGCGUGAGGGAAGACGGCCCUACGGGUUGUAAACCUCUUUUGUCAGGGAGCAAGGUGCAGGUCGGGACCUGCUGUGAGAGUACCUGAAGAAAGAGCAUCGGCUAACUCCGGGCCAGCAGCCGAGGAAAUACGGAGGAUGCGAGCGUUAUCCGGAUUUAGUGGGUGUAAAGAGUGCGCAGGCGGAGGCACAAGUGAGCGGUAAAACCGCGGGGCUCAACCCCGCUCCGCCGUUGAAACUGUGUCCCUUGAGUGCGCGAAGGGUAGGCGGAAUGCGUGGUGUAGCGGUGAAAUGCAUAGAUAUCACGCAGAACUCCGAUCGCGAAGGCAGCCUACCGGCGCGCAACUGACGCUCAUGCUCGAAAGUGUGGGUAUCAAACAGGAUUAGAUACCCCUGUAGUC
rnacentral:rRNA from 1 species